rnacentral:rRNA from 1 species
GACGAACGCUGGCGGCGUGCUUAACGCAUGCAAGUCGAACGGAAAGGCCCUGCUUUUGUGGGGUGCUCGAGUGGCGAACGGGUGAGUAACACGUGAGUAACCUGCCCUUGACUUUGGGAUAACUUCAGGAAACUGGGGCUAAUACCGGAUAGGAGCUCCUGCUGCAUGGUGGGGGUUGGAAAGUUUCGGCGGUUGGGAAUGGACUCGCGGCUUAUCAGCUUGUUGGUGGGGUAGUGGCUUACCAAGGCUUUGACGGGUAGCCGGCCUGAGAGGGUGACCGGCCACAUUGGGACUGAGAUACGGCCCAGACUCCUACGGGAGGCAGCAGUGGGGAAUAUUGCACAAUGGGCGGAAGCCUGAUGCAGCAACGCCGCGUGCGGGAUGACGGCCUUCGGGUUGUAAACCGCUUUCGCCUGUGACGAAGCGUGAGUGACGGUAAUGGGUAAAGAAGCACCGGCUAACUACGUG